CCUGGUAGCGGGGGAUAACUAUUGAAACGAUAGCUAAUACCGCAUAAUAUUGAUUAUUGCAUGAUAAUUGAUUGAAAGAUGCAACUGCAUCACUACCAGAUGGACCUGCGUUGUAUUAGCUAGUAGGUGAGGUAACGGCUCACCUAGGCGACGAUACAUAGCCGACCUGAGAGGGUGAUCGGCCACACUGGAACUGAGACACGGCCCAG
rnacentral:rRNA from 1 species